CCUACGGGCGGCAGCAGUGAGGAAUAUUGGUCAAUGGGCGAGAGCCUGAACCAGCCAAGUCGCGUGAGGGAGUACUGCCCUAUGGGUUGUAAACCUCUUUUGUCGGGGAGCAAAAGCCGGACGUGUCCGGCUGUGAGAGUACCCGAAGAAAAAGCAUCGGCUAACUCCGUGCCAGUCGCCGGGGUAAUACGGAGGGGGCAAGCGUUAACCGGAUUUAAUGGGUGUAAAGGGGGCGUAGGCGGUUUAGCAAGUCAGAAGUGAAAGCCCGGGGGUCAACUCCGGGACUGCUUUUGAAACUGUUGGACUAGAUUGCAGGAGAGGUAAGUGGAAUUCCUGGGGUAGCGGUGAAAUGCGUAGAUAUUGGGAGGAACACCAGUGGCGAAGGCAGCUUACUGGACUGUAAAUGACGCUGAGGCUCGAAAGCGUGGGGAGCAAACAGGAUUAGAUACCCGAGUAGUC
rnacentral:rRNA from 1 species